rnacentral:tRNA from 1 species
UCCCAUGUGCACUAGUGGUUAGGAUUCCUGGCUUUCAUCCAGGAAGCCCAGGUUCGAUUCCCGGCGUGGGAA